rnacentral:lncRNA from 1 species
UGGCUACAUUAAUUUGGAAGUUAUAUUUAUUUUCAUUGGCCUUUUGAAUUAGAAAUGAUAAAUGCUUUACUUGAAGCUUUGAAGGAUGUCCUCUACUUUGCUCGAUUCCAAUAGAAGCUUGUGACAUCUUAUCACAAAGUUCCUUUAAUACGUGGAUUUUUAAAACUAUAGAUUGAAUAUAUGAUCUAGAUUAUAAAACAUGUC